rnacentral:rRNA from 1 species
CAGUCGCCGCGGGAAUACGUAGGGUGCGAGCGUUAAUCGGAAUUACUGGGCGUAAAGCGUGCGCAGGCGGUUCGUUAAGACAGAUGUGAAAUCCCCGGGCUUAACCUGGGAACUGCAUUUGUGACUGGCGAGCUAGAGUAUGGCAGAGGGGGGUAGAAUUCCACGUGUAGCAGUGAAAUGCGUAGAGAUGUGGAGGAAUACCGAUGGCGAAGGCAGCCCCCUGGGCCAAUACUGACGCUCAUGCACGAAAGCGUGGGGAGCAAACAGGAUUAGAUACCCCAGUAGUCCCUGUCUCUUAUAC